UUCGCAAUGCCCGAAAGGGUGACGAAGCGACGCCGCGUGGGUGAAGAAGGCCUUCGGGUUGUAAAGCCCUGUCAGGAGUUAUGAAAUGUAGGUGCGAUAAUACCGUGCCUAUUUGACAAAGGCUCCAAAGGAAGCUACGGCUAACUCUGAGCCAGCAGCCGCGGUAAUACAGAGGUGGCAAGCGUUGUUCGGAAUUAUUGGGCGUAAAGAGCACGUAGGUGGGUUUGUAAGUCAGAUGUGAAAGCCUUCUGUUCAACGGAAGAAUUGCAUCUGAAACUGCGAGUCUUGAGUGUAGGAGGGGAGAAUGGAACUUCUGGUGGAGCGGUGAAAUGCGUAGAUAUCAGAAGGAACGCCGGCGGCGAAAGCGAUUCUCUGGCCUAUUACUGACACUGAGUGUGCGAAAGCUAGGGGAGCAAACGGGAUUAGAUACCCCGGUAGUCCUAGCCGUAAACGAUGGGCACUAAGUAGAGGGGUUUU
rnacentral:rRNA from 1 species